rnacentral:rRNA from 1 species
AUACGAAAGGUGCAAGCGUUGUUCGGAUUUACUGGGCGUAAAGAGAGUGUAGGUGGUUUAUUAAGUUGGAUGUGAAAUCCCGGGGCUCAACCUCGGAACUGCAUUCGAUACUGAUAGGCUAGAGUUUGGGAGGGGUAAGCGGAAUUCCGUGUGUAGCAGUGAAAUGCGUAGAUAUACGGAGGAACACCUGAGGCGAAGGCGGCUUACUGGACCAAUACUGACACUGAGACUCGAAAGCGUGGGUAGCAAACAGGAUUAGAAACCCCUGUAGUCC